rnacentral:rRNA from 1 species
AGAGUUUGAUCCUGGCUCAGAUUGAACGCUGGCGGUAUGCUUAACACAUGCAAGUCGAACGGUAACAGCAGGAGCUUGCUCCUGGCUGACGAGUGGCGGACGGGUGCGUAACGCGUAGGAAUCUGCCUAUUAGUGGGGGACAACGUGGUGAAAACCACGCUAAUACCGCAUACGCCCUACGGGGGAAAGCGGGGGAUCUUCGGACCUCGCGCUAAUAGAUGAGCCUGUGUUAGAUUAGCUAGUUGGUGAGGUAAUGGCUCACCAAGGCGACGAUCUAUAGCUGGUCUGAGAGGACGAUCAGCCACACUGGGACUGAGACACGGUCCAGACUCCUACGGGAGGCAGCAGUGGGGAAUAUUGGACAAUGGGCGAAAGCCUGAUCCAGCAAUACCGCGUGUGUGAAGAAGGCCUGAGGGUUGUAAAGCACUUUCAAUUGGGAGGAAAACAGGCGGAAUUAAUAUCCCGUCUCUUGACAUUACCUUUAGAAGAAGCACCGGCUAACUCCGUGCCAGCAGCCGCGGUAAUACGGAGGGUGCAAGCGUUAAUCGGAAUUACUGGGCGUAAAGCGUUCGUAGGCGGUUAGUUAAGUUAGAUGUGAAAGCCCCGGGCUUAACCUGGGAACUGCAUUUAAAACUGGCUAACUCGAGUUUAGGAGAGGGAAGUGGAAUUUCAGGUGUAGCAGUGAAAUGCGUAGAGAUCUGAAGGAACACCAGUGGCGAAGGCGACUUCCUGGACUAAAACUGACGCUGAGGAACGAAAGCGUGGGUAGCAAACGGGAUUAGAUACCCCGGUAGUCCACGCCGUAAACGAUGUCAACUAGCCGUUGGGCCUAUAUACAGGUUUAGUGGCGGAGCUAACGUAUUAAGUUGACCGCCUGGGGAGUACGGCCGCAAGGUUAAAACUCAAAUGAAUUGACGGGGGCCCGCACAAGCGGUGGAGCAUGUGGUUUAAUUCG